UGGCGGCAGUAGCGCGGUGGUCCCACCUGACCCCAUGCCGAACUCAGAAGUGAAACGCCGUAGCGCCGAUGGUAGUGUGNUACCCGCGGCAAGACGGAAAGACCCCGUGAA
rnacentral:rRNA from 1 species